rnacentral:miRNA from 1 species
CGUAUAUGAAUGAUCAGGUACC